rnacentral:rRNA from 1 species
AUUGAACGCUGGCGGCAGGCUUAACACAUGCAAGUCGAGCGAGAGGCUGACGGGUGAGUAAUUCCUGGGAAACUGCCUGAUGGAGGGGGAUACCUACUGGAAACGGUAACUACUACCGCAUACCAUCAGAUGUGCCCAGAUGGGAUUAGCUAGUAGGGGGGGUAAAGGCUCACCUAGGCGACUAUCCCUAGCUGGUCUGAGAGGAGGACCAGCCACACUGGAACGGAGACACGGUCCAGACUCCUACGGGAGGCAGCAGUGGGGAAUAGGGCACAAGGGGGGCAAGCCUGAGGCAGCCAUGCCGCGUGUAUGAAGAAGGCCUUCGGGUUGGAAAGUGCUUUCAGCGGGGAGGCGUUACCCGCAGAAGAAGCACCGGCUAACUCCGUGCCAGCAGCCGCGGUAAUAC